rfam:Tolumonas auensis DSM 9187, complete genome.
CAGCGCAGUGGCAGCUGCAAGCCACUGGCGGUAGCCAU